rnacentral:rRNA from 1 species
AACUAUAACGGUCCUAAGGUAGCGAAAUUCCUUGUCAGGUAAGUUCUGACCCGCAUGAAAGGCGUAAUGAUUUGGGCACUGUCUCAACAGCCCGCCCGGCGAAAUUGUAGUACCGGUGAAGAUGCCGGUUACCCGCGACAAGACGGAAAGACCCCAUGGAGCUUUACUGUAGCCUAAUAUUGGGUUUCGAUGUUGCAUGCACAGGAUAGAUGGGACACAGGGAAACAAUCGCUUUGGCGGUUGCGGAGUGGCCGUUGGGAUACCAUCCUUGCGAUAUUGGAAUUCUAACCUGCGGCUCUGAAUCGAGUCGGGGGACAUUGUUAGGUGGGCAGUUUGACUGGGGCGGUCGCCUCCUAAAGAGUAACGGAGGCGUUCAAAGGUUCGCUCAGCUUGAACGGAAAUCAAGCAAAAGAGUGCAAACGCAGAAGCGAGCCUAACUGCGAGACUGACGGGUCGAGCAGUAACGAAAGUUGGAGUUAGUGAUCCGGUGGUAUGUGAGUGGAAAUGCCAUCGCUCAACGGAUAAAAGUUACCCUGGGGAUAACAGGCUGAUCUCCCCCAAGAGUCCACAUCGACGGGGAGGUUUGGCACCUCGAUGUCGGCUCAUCGCAUCCUGGGGCUGUAUUCGGUCCCAAGGGUUUGGCUGUUCGCCAAUUAAAGCGGUACGCGAGCUGGGUUCAGAACGUCGUGAGACAGUUCGGUCCCUAUCUGUCGUGGGCGCAGGAUAUUUGAUGGGAGCUGUCCCUAGUACGAGAGGACCGGGACGGACGUACCUCUGGCGCACCAGUUGUUCCGCCAGGAGCAUAGCUGGGCAACUACGUACGGAUCGGAUAAACGCUGAAAGCAUCUAAGCGUGAAGCCGACCCAAAGAUAAGAUAUCCCAUUGUUUUAAACAAGUAAGACCCCUUGAAGACUACAAGGUUGAUAGGCACGAUGUGUAAGUGGAGCGAUCCAUUCAGCAAGCGUGUACUAAUAGGUCGAGGGCUUGACCAC